CUGAGUAGCCAGCCAGGGGGAUGGAGCACCUGAAGAUCGUGAAAGUUCCCAACCUGCUGGGCAGAGUUCUCCCGGACAAUUUUGUCUCCCUGUCCUUUCUUCUGAGCAGUAAGCUCUGUGCAAUCCUUGCUCCUUUAGCAGUCCUCUUGCUGUUAGGAAGUCUGUCUGAUUGCCUGCCUUUCUUUUGUCCCAGAGCAGCCAGAUGUGGAUCCCAUCUUUCCAUAGGUGGCUGGAAUCUCAGCCUCUCCAGAAAUUUUGCCUGUCUUAGCUUUCCCAACUGCUCUGAUAUCCAGAGCACCAUGCAAUGUAGGUUUGUGCUCCCAGAGCAGAUCUCCAGAGGUAGGUGUUCAGCAGUCCCAGGCCUCUACUCCCUCCCUCCUCCAUUUAUCUUCUUCCUUCUGGUGAGCUGAUGUCAGAGGAGGGCUUGCGUCCCACCGGGUCGUGGCUUUGGUAUGUUACCCUGUUCCAUGAGGUCUGUUUUUUCCUCCAGGGAUAUGCCAUCUGGUGCAGUCCUUUUUUCUGUUGCUAUUUCAAGAUUAGCUGUACUAAUUAUAUUUUUGUAUUAUAUGCAGUUUUAGGAGGAAGCCUCUGUCUCAUCUCUCACACCUCCAUCUUUAAUCCCAGUGAAUUGAUGGAGAACCUACUGAGCUGUUGGGUAGAAAACCAGCAACCAUGUACCUCCAAACACAGCUUGGACACUGAGAACUGAAUUUACCUACUUAACCCCCGACUCCUACUGUGCCCUGCAACAUACACACAUCUUGAGAAGCUUCCAGAAGGAUUCACAAACUCUUUAAUAGAAGCAUCAAUAGAAGUUUACCCUGUUCCACAUAACCCUUGAAUUCUGGUCAAAUAAAUGUAAAUUGGUCUAUCAUGAUCUUUGCCCAAGUCUAGUCAAGCUCUGUACUGAAACUCUUGCUUUAAACUAAACUUUAUAUUCUUAAUAAAACU